rnacentral:Y_RNA from 1 species
GGCUGGUAUGAAUAUAGUGAGUUAUCUCACUUGAUUGUUCACAGUAAGUUACAGAUUGAACUCCUCGUUUUACUACUUUCCCCCCUUCUCACUACUGUACUUGACUAGUGUUAA